UACGUAGGGUGCGAGCGUUGUCCGGAAUUACUGGGCGUAAAGAGCUCGUAGGUGGUUUGUCGCGUUGUUCGUGAAAACUCACAGCUUAACUGUGGGCGUGCGGGCGAUACGGGCAGACUGGAGUACUGCAGGGGAGACUGGAAUUCCUGGUGUAGCGGUGGAAUGCGCAGAUAUCAGGAGGAACACCGGUGGCGAAGGCGGGUCACUGGGCCGCAACUGACGCUGAGGAGCGAAAGCAUGGGGAGCGAACAGG
rnacentral:rRNA from 1 species